rnacentral:rRNA from 1 species
UACGUAGGGUGCGAGCGUUAAUCGGAAUUACUGGGCGUAAAGCGUGCGCAGGCGGCUUCGCAAGUCAGGCGUGAAAUCCCCGGGCUUAACCUGGGAAUGGCGUCUGAAACUACGGAGCUGGAGUGUGGCAGAGGGAGGUAGAAUUCCACGUGUAGCGGUGAAAUGCGUAGAUAUGUGGAGGAAUACCGAUGGCGAAGGCAGCCUCCUGGGCCGAACACUGACGCUCAUGACACGAAAGCGUGGGGAGCAAACAGG